CAGGGCUGGAGGGAGCAGCGCGAGGAAGGAGUGAGAUCAGGGCCUGCUUUCUGUCCACCGAGGGGCACCAGUGUACCGCCAGGAGGGCCCAGGAUGAGGCGCCAGCGUGGCUCUGUCCAGGCCAACUCAAGUAUCUACCUAUAAUCAUUCUCAAGCCCCCUGGCAGGAAGGCACUCUCCCUCCACCUCCACGUCGGUGGUCCCUCCCUCACAGGGUCCUCCCUCACCAGUCAGACCUCCUAGUGUGGCCACGCGGCCCCAAGCUUGCCCCAUGCUCACACUUAGCACAGUCCCCUAGUCACGAUCGAGUUGCCAUAGUCCCCAGCGACCACCUUCCAAGGUCAGAGACAAGUGAUUAGGACUCCAGCAACACAGACUCCAAUGCCCGAGGCCGGUGGUAUCCAGGAGCCCAAAGUGCAGCCCCGCUAACAGAAACUACAAGGGCACCCACACCCAGAGUGCAUUCGCCGAAUAGAACAUACUACCGGAAGCAGGAAUGAGAAGGCUAUGGCAGUCGAUGAGAAGCAGAUGCCCAAUGGAAUAAGAGUCGGAAAAGCCUUUAGAGAGCACCUAGCUCACGCCCUCACUUUGUAAGAUUGGAAACUGAGACUAGCAUAUGGAAAUUAUUUUUCCAAGGUCACAAGACAUCUCGCACCUUUUGCACGUCAGCUCCACGUGUUUGACCUUGGUCCUUGAGGACCCAGUGGUCACGCCACUACCGCAGGCUCACUCCCUUGACUGCCACUCAGGCUCCUCCUGCUGCCUUUCCCAAGGAGUAGCCUUGUGUCAUGAUCGUGGACAUUAGUGUGAUUUUGCUACUAACUUGCUGGGCAGUCUUGUUCAUCUCUCUAAUUCUCCUUCUCUGAGAGCGAGAUCUGGUGCCUGCACAGAGGCCGGAGCGAUUUCUGGGUAAGAAAAUGGCAGACCCCAGGGACGACUCAGUGAAUGCCAAUUCUGUCUUCUUCCUCCCGGUUCUUGGGAAAUGUUCUUGCGCCUCUGUCCUUUCCUUGGCUCCUAGAAACUCGUAAAGACUACUUAGAAGGGCCUCCGGGGGCCUUUUUGGCCCACUCUCCCAAACAUGCCCUCCAUCCGAGCUCCUGAGGAAGGCAUCCUGCCUCUAACUCACACCAGCAGGUAAAGGCAGGUGGGAACCUCCCCACUGUGCCUGGGAUCUAACCCGACACUUCUUGCUACAAUUUAGGGAUGAAGCCGCCUUCCUUAUUUUGCCCUCCAGAAGGAUGAAAAAAACUCCAUUUUCUGUCCUCCAUCA